GCAGAGUAGGAAUAUGUGCGUUAAGUGCUGUAUGGACAGGGAGUUGCCAUAUGGACGAAAAGGUUUUCUUGCGAUACAUAAUCCGCAUCCCGCUGC
rnacentral:ncRNA from 1 species